rnacentral:rRNA from 1 species
GAUGAACGCUGGCGGCGUGCCUAAUACAUGCAAGUCGAGCGAACAGACGAGGAGCUUGCUCCUUUGACGUUAGCGGCGGACGGGUGAGUAACACGUGGAUAACCUACCUAUAAGACUGGGAUAACUUCGGGAAACCGGAGCUAAUACCGGAUAACAUGUUGAACCGCAUGGUUCAACAGUGAAAGACGGUCUUGCUGUCACUUAUAGAUGGAUCCGCGCCGCAUUAGCUAGUUGGUAAGGUAACGGCUUACCAAGGCAACGAUGCGUAGCCGACCUGAGAGGGUGAUCGGCCACACUGGAACUGAGACACGGUCCAGACUCCUACGGGAGGCAGCAGUAGGGAAUCUUCCGCAAUGGGCGAAAGCCUGACGGAGCAACGCCGCGUGAGUGAAGGAGGUCUUCGGAUCGUAAAGCUCUGUUAUUAGGGAAGAACAAAUGUGUAAGUAACUAUGCACGUCUUGACGGUACCUAAUCAGAAAGCCACGGCUAACUACGUG